UGUCUCCUGGGAUGUUCGCCAGCUGGGGUCGUCCUUGAGCCGUUAGAGAAACUACAGGAGGCCGGGCCUUGCGUCCGUGUGCAAGUCCGAUGCCCAAUCGCAUUGGGGUCGGGAAGCCUUAGACGCAAACGUUUGGUCGCCGCCUUGAACCGUAACGGUUCAGGGCAAACCAUGCAGCGGCAUUUCGGGAGGCUU
rnacentral:other from 1 species